UAGAUUCACCAAACCUCUGGCUGAUCACUGGCAAUUUGCAGUAAUGACAGUGGACAAGUGAAGAGAGAGGAGGGGACGGCAUCAGAAAGGACCUUGAGCUGCUGCGACUGUCUUGGAUCACCCAAAGCACAACUACACUAUGUGUCCAAGUACUGAACAAGGCUUUUCUCCUUACAUAUUAUAUGUAUUUAAUUUAAGGCAGGGUUUUUUUUUUCCUGCAUAGUGAAUUACUAGGUGGCUCCCUGUCAAAUUUGAUGUUGUCUCCAGCUAUUAACAAAACUCAGACAGGCAGUCACAUGCUCCGAUUCCCCUUUUCCACCAACAUGGUUCUGUUGCAGGAUCCUGGCCUGUGUCCGUCCUCAAACUGUUCCACAAACCUCCACUGCAUAAAAGGCAGUUCCAGGACAGAAAUAUCGGUACCCUCACUCUUUACCAGUCAUCACAUUCACAACCACCACAGUCAACGAAGUCAAGGUCCCUGGUCCACAGCAUCAACCAUCUUUGUAGGAAGAUGAUUACUGCAUUUCUUGAUGUAUCUUUAAAAUUGACAGAUUUCUUAUGGAGUGCAAUCCCUCUCUAGAUGAACUGAGGCCUAUCGGUCUUACAAAAUACUGUCAGACACUGCAUAUGAUGUUCUCAAAAUAAUAAAUUAAUUAAUAAAAUA